rnacentral:rRNA from 1 species
UACGUAGGGUGCGAGCGUUUGUCCGGAAUUAUUGGGCGUAAAGAGCUCGUAGGCGGCCUGUCGCGUCGGAUGUGAAAGCCCGGGGCUUAACCCCGGGGUCUGCAUUCGAUACGGGCAGGCUAGAGUGUGGUAGGGGGAGAUCGGAAUUCCUGGUGUAGCGGUGAAAUGCGUAGAUAUCAGGAGGAAUACCGGUGGCGAAAGCGACUCUCUGGACGGCAACUGACGCUGAGGCACGAAAGCGUGGGGAGCAAACAGG